rnacentral:rRNA from 1 species
UGGGGAAUUUUGGACAAUGGGCGAAAGCCUGAUCCAGCAAUGCCGCGUGUGUGAAGAAGGCCUUCGGGUUGUAAAGCACUUUUGUCCGGAAAGAAAUCCUUGGCUCUAAUACAGUCGGGGGAUGACGGUACCGGAAGAAUAAGCACCGGCUAACUACGUGCCAGCAGCCGCGGUAAUACGUAGGGUGCAAGCGUUAAUCGGAAUUACUGUGCGUAAAGCGUGCGCAGGCGGUUUGCUAAGACCGAUGUGAAAUCCCCGGGCUCAACCUGGGAACUGCAUUGGUGACUGGCAGGCUAGAGUAUGGCAGAGGGGGGUAGAAUUCCACGUGUAGCAGUGAAAUGCGUAGAGAUGUGGAGGAAUACCGAUGGCGAAGGCAGCCCCCUGGGCCAAUACUGACGCUCAUGCACGAAAGCGUGGGGGAGCAAACAGGAUUAGAUACCCUGGUAGUCCACGCCCUAAACGAUGUCAACUAGUUGUUGGGGAUUCAUUUCCUUAGUAACGUAGCUAACGCGUGAAGUUGACCGCCUGGGGGAGUACGGUCGC